rnacentral:tRNA from 1 species
CAAUUAAUGAUGAAGAACUGUAAAUUCUUUUUAGAAAAAUUUUACAAAACUACUCAUCC